rnacentral:rRNA from 1 species
GGGUUGUGAGGUUAAGCGACUAAGCGUACACGGUGGAUGCCCUGGCAGUCAGAGGCGAUGAAGGACGUGCUAAUCUGCGAAAAGCGUCGGUAAGGUGAUAUGAACCGUUAUAGCCGGCGAUGUCCGAAUGGGGAAACCCAGUGUGAUUCGUCACACUAUCGUUAACUGAAUACAUAGGUUAACGAGGCGAACCGGGGGAACUGAAACAUCUAAGUACCCCGAGGAAAAGAAAUCAACCGAGAUUCCCCCAGUAGCGGCGAGCGAACGGGGAGCAGCCCAGAGUCUGAAUCAGCUUGUGUGUUAGUGGAACGGUCUGGAAAGUCCGACGGUACAGGGUGAUAGUCCCGUACACCAAAAUGCACAGGCUGUGAACUCGAAGAGUAGGGCGGGACACGUGGUAUCCUGUCUGAAUAUGGGGGGACCAUCCUCCAAGGCUAAAUACUCCUGACUGACCGAUAGUGAACCAGUACCGUGAGGGAAAGGCGAAAAGAACCCCGGCGAGGGGAGUGAAAAAGAACCUGAAACCGUGUACGUACAAGCAGUGGGAGCACCUUCGGGUGUGACUGCGUACCUUUUGUAUAAUGGGUCAGCGACUUAUAUUCUGUAGCAAGGUUAACCGUAUAGGGGAGCCGCAGGGAAACCGAGUCUUAACUGGGCGUUAAGUUGCAGGGUAUAGACCCGAAACCCGGUGAUCUAGCCAUGGGCAGGUUGAAGGUUGGGUAACACUAACUGGAGGACCGAACCGACUAAUGUUGAAAAAUUAGCGGAUGACUUGUGGCUGGGGGUGAAAGGCCAAUCAAACCGGGAGAUAGCUGGUUCUCCCCGAAAGCUAUUUAGGUAGCGCCUCGUGAACUCAUCUUCGGGGGUAGAGCACUGUUUCGGCUAGGGGGUCAUCCCGACUUACCAACCCGAUGCAAACUACGAAUACCGAAGAAUGUUAUCACGGGAGACACACGGCGGGUGCUAACGUCCGUCGUGAAGAGGGAAACAACCCAGACCGCCAGCUAAGGUCCCAAAGUCAUGGUUAAGUGGGAAACGAUGUGGGAAGGCACAGACAGCCAGGAUGUUGGCUUAGAAGCAGCCAUCAUUUAAAGAAAGCGUAAUAGCUCACUGGUCGAGUCGGCCUGCGCGGAAGAUGUAACGGGGCUAAACCAUGCACCGAAGCUGCGGCAGCGACACUAUGUGUUGUUGGGUAGGGGAGCGUUCUGUAAGCCUGCGAAGGUGGCCUGUGAGGGUUGCUGGAGGUAUCAGAAGUGCGAAUGCUGACAUAAGUAACGAUAAAGCGGGUGAAAAGCCCGCUCGCCGGAAGACCAAGGGUUCCUGUCCAACGUUAAUCGGGGCAGGGUGAGUCGACCCCUAAGGCGAGGCCGAAAGGCGUAGUCGAUGGGAAACAGGUUAAUAUUCCUGUACUUGGUGUUACUGCGAAGGGGGGACGGAGAAGGCUAUGUUAGCCGGGCGACGGUUGUCCCGGUUUAAGCAUGUAGGCUGGUUAUCCAGGCAAAUCCGGAUAAUCAAGGCUGAGGUGUGAUGACGAGGCACUACGGUGCUGAAGUAACAAAUGCCCUGCUUCCAGGAAAAGCCUCUAAGCAUCAGGUAACAUCAAAUCGUACCCCAAACCGACACAGGUGGUCAGGUAGAGAAUACCAAGGCGCUUGAGAGAACUCGGGUGAAGGAACUAGGCAAAAUGGUGCCGUAACUUCGGGAGAAGGCACGCUGGUGUGUAGGUGAAGUCCCUGCGGAUGGAGCUGAGACCAGUCGAAGAUACCAGCUGGCUGCAACUGUUUAUUAAAAACACAGCACUGUGCAAACACGAAAGUGGACGUAUACGGUGUGACGCCUGCCCGGUGCCGGAAGGUUAAUUGAUGGGGUUAUCCGUAAGGAGAAGCUCUUGAUCGAAGCCCCGGUAAACGGCGGCCGUAACUAUAACGGUCCUAAGGUAGCGAAAUUCCUUGUCGGGUAAGUUCCGACCUGCACGAAUGGCGUAAUGAUGGCCAGGCUGUCUCCACCCGAGACUCAGUGAAAUUGAACUCGCUGUGAAGAUGCAGUGUACCCGCGGCAAGACGGAAAGACCCCGUGAACCUUUACUAUAGCUUGACACUGAACAUUGAGCCUUGAUGUGUAGGAUAGGUGGGAGGCUUUGAAGCGUGGACGCCAGUCUGCGUGGAGCCAACCUUGAAAUACCACCCUUUAAUGUUUGAUGUUCUAACGUUGGCCCCUUACCGGGGUUGCGGACAGUGUCUGGUGGGUAGUUUGACUGGGGCGGUCUCCUCCCAAAGCGUAACGGAGGAGCACGAAGGUUAGCUAAUCCUGGUCGGACAUCAGGAGGUUAGUGCAAUGGCAUAAGCUAGCUUGACUGCGAGCGUGACGGCGCGAGCAGGUGCGAAAGCAGGUCAUAGUGAUCCGGUGGUUCUGAAUGGAAGGGCCAUCGCUCAACGGAUAAAAGGUACUCCGGGGAUAACAGGCUGAUACCGCCCAAGAGUUCAUAUCGACGGCGGUGUUUGGCACCUCGAUGUCGGCUCAUCACAUCCUGGGGCUGAAGUAGGUCCCAAGGGUAUGGCUGUUCGCCAUUUAAAGUGGUACGCGAGCUGGGUUUAGAACGUCGUGAGACAGUUCGGUCCCUAUCUGCCGUGGGCGCUGGAGAAUUGAGGGGGGCUGCUCCUAGUACGAGAGGACCGGAGUGGACGCAUCACUGGUGUUCGGGUUGUCAUGCCAAUGGCACUGCCCGGUAGCUAAAUGCGGAAGAGAUAAGUGCUGAAAGCAUCUAAGCACGAAACUUGCCCCGAGAUGAGUUCUCCCUGAGACUUUAAGUCUCCUGAAGGAACGUUAAAGACGAUGACGUUGAUAGGCCGGGUGUGUAAGCGCAGCGAUGCGUUGAGCUAACCGGUACUAAUGAACCGUGAGGCUUAACCUUACAACGCCGAAG